rnacentral:rRNA from 1 species
GUAGGUGGCAAGCGUUGUCCGGAAUUAUUGGGCGUAAAGCGCGCGCAGGCGGUUCUUUAAGUCUGAUGUGAAAGCCCACGGCUCAACCGUGGAGGGUCAUUGGAAACUGGAGAACUUGAGUACAGAAGAGGAAAGCGGAAUUCCACGUGUAGCGGUGAAAUGCGUAGAGAUGCGGAGGAACACCAGUGGCGAAGGCGGCUUUCUGGUCUGUAACUGACGCUGAGGCGCGAAAGCGUGGGGGAGCAAACAGGAUUAGAUACCCUGGUAGUCCACGCCGUAAACGAUGAGUGCUAAGUGUUAGGGGGUUUCCGCCCCUUAGUGCUGCAGCUAACGCAUUAAGCACUCCGCCUGGGAGUACGGCCGCAAGGCUG